rnacentral:snoRNA from 1 species
UAGCACAGUGAUGUUUACCAUCUUUCGGGUCUGAAAAUUGAUGACAACUAUUGUACCUGAGUGCUU